GAUUAAGUUAUUAAGGGCGCACGGUGGAUGCCUUGGCACUAGAAGCCGAUGAAGGACGUUACUAACGACGAUAUGCUUUGGGGAGCUGUAAGUAAGCUUUGAUCCAGAGAUUUCCGAAUGGGGAAACCCAACAUGAGUUAUGUCAUGUUAUCGAUAUGUGAAUACAUAGCAUAUCAGAAGGCACACCCGGAGAACUGAAACAUCUUAGUACCCGGAGGAAGAGAAAGAAAAUUCGAUUCCCUUAGUAGCGGCGAGCGAAACGGGAAGAGCCCAAACCAACAAGCUUGCUUGUUGGGGUUGUAGGACACUCUAUACGGAGUUACAAAGGACGAUAUUAGACGAAUCAUCUGGAAAGAUGAAUCAAAGAAGGUAAUAAUCCUGUAGUCGAAAAUAUUGUCUCUCUUGA
rnacentral:rRNA from 1 species